UCAAGCUAAAAAGAGCGCAGGGUGGAUGCCUUGGCACUAAGAGCCGAUGAAAGACGUGAUAAGCUGCGAUAAGCUACGGGGAGGAGCACAUAUCCAUUGAUCCGUAGAUUUCUGAAUGGGGAAACCCGGCUGAGCAUACCUCAGUCACCGUACACUGAAUCCAUAGGUGUACGGAGGGAACCCGGUGAACUGAAACAUCUAAGUAGCCGGAGGAAGAGAAAGAAAACUCGAUUUUCAAAGUAGCGGCGAGCGAAAUGGAAAGAGCCCAAACCGGAGUGCGUGCACUCCGGGGUUCGGACUGCAUUUAUGACUUCUGACUGUAGCGGAACGGUUCUGGAAAGACCGGCCAGAGAGGGUGAGAGCCCCGUAGGCGAAACGGAAAGAAGCAGAGCAGGAUCCAGAGUACCACGAGACACGAGAAACCUUGUGGGAAUGAGCGGGGACCACCCCGUAAGGCUAAAUACUCCUUAGUGACCGAUAGAGCAGAGUACUGUGAAGGAAAGGUGAAAAGGACCCCGGGAGGGGAGUGAAAGAGAACCUGAAACCCUGUGUUUACAAACUGUGGAAGUACCAUAUGAGUACAACCGCGUACUUUUUGUAGAACGGUCCGGCGAGUUACGUUUACUGGCGAGGUUAAGCACUUAAGGUGCGGAGCCGAAGGGAUACCAAGUCUUAACAGGGCGUUAAGUCAGUGUACGUAGACCCGAAACCGGGUGAUCUACCCAUGUCCAGGCUGAAGUUGCCGUAAAAGGCAAUGGAGGGCCGAACGCACAUCCGUUGAAAAGGGUGGCGAUGAGGUGUGGGUAGGGGAGAAAUUCCAAUCGAACCCGGAGAUAGCUGGUUCUCCUCGAAAUAGCUUUAGGGCUAGCCUCGUUUUAGUCUUAUGGAGGUAGAGCACUGAAUUUCCGCGGGGGCGUCAAAGCUUACCAAAGAAUAUCAAACUCCGAAUGCCAUGUAGAUGAUGAAUGGGAGUCAGACUGCACGAGAUAAGUUGGGUGGUCAAAAGGGAAAGAGCCCAGACCUACAGCUAAGGUCCCAAAGUGCGUGUUAAGUGGAAAAGGAUGUGGGAUUUCGAAGACAACUAGGAUGUUGGCUCAGAAGCAGCCACACAUUCAAAGAGUGCGUAAUAGCUCACUAGUCGAGAGGUCCUGCGCCGAAAAUGUCCGGGGCUGAAACACAACACCGAAGCUUAGGAAUGUAGUAAUACAUUGGUAGAGGAGCAUUCUUAAAGGAAUGAAGCAGUACCGAUAAGGAGCUGUGGACUUUUAAGAAGAGAGAAUGCCGGAAUGAGUAGCGAGAUGGAGGUGGGAAUCCUCCAGGCCGAAUAUCCAAGGUUUCCAGAGUAAAGCUGAUCUGCUCUGGGUAAGUCGGGGCCUAAGGUAAGGCUGAGAAGCGUAGCCGAUGGACAACAGGUUGAGAUUCCUGUACCGCGUAUCAUCAGAACUGUGGGGACACAGAAGGACAGCACAUCCCGGGAAUGGAAAGACCGGGGCAAGCAGGGUAGGAGUUAAGCUGGCAAAUCCGCUUAACAAUCCGAAGCUGUGAUGCGGAGCGAAUUUAAGUAGCGAAGUGUGCGAUUCCGGCUGUCAAGAAAAGCCGCUAUUGUGUGAUACGUGCCCGUACCGUAAACCGACACAGGUAGAUGAGGAGAGAAUCCUAAGGCCGGCGGGAGAAGCAUUGUUAAGGAACUCGGCAAAAUGACCCUGUAACUUCGGGAGAAAGGGUGCCUGGGAAACCAGGCCGCAGAGAAUAGGCUCAAGCAACUGUUUAGCAAAAACACAGGUCUAUGCAAAACCGUAAGGUGAGGUAUAUGGGCUGACGCCUGCCCGGUGCUGGAAGGUUAAGAGGAGAGGUUAGAGCAAUCGAAGCUUUGAAUUGAAGCCCCAGUAAACGGCGGCCGUAACUAUAACGGUCCUAAGGUAGCGAAAUUCCUUGUCGGGUAAGUUC
rnacentral:rRNA from 1 species